rnacentral:tmRNA from 2 species
GGGGUCGACUUGGCUUCGACGUGGGUCGCGAAACAGAGUAGGGCAUGCCGAGCACCAGUAAGCUCGUUAAUCCACUGGAAAACUACAAACGCCAACGACGAGCGUUUCGCUUUAGCCGCUUAAGCGGUAAGCCGCUGCACUGAUUUGUCUUUGGGUCAGGUAGGGUAAAACCUACAGCAGCGUCAUUUACAAAGAAUCGGUUUUGGCUGGGUCACUCAGUCAACGCUUAAAUUAAUGUGAAUCGCUAAGGGAUGGCCUGUUAACCGGCAUGGCCCGAGGCUAAAACCUUAAAGUUGGUUGACUAAGCAUGUAGAACUGCCUGCAGAGGGCUUGCGGACGGGGGUUCAAUUCCCCCCGACUCCACCA